rnacentral:rRNA from 1 species
AUUGAACGCUGGCGGCAGGCCUAACACAUGCAAGUCGAGCGGUAGCACAGAGAGCUUGCUCUCGGGUGACGAGCGGCGGACGGGUGAGUAAUGUCUGGGAAACUGCCUGAUGGAGGGGGAUAACUACUGAAACGGUAGCUAAUACCGCAUAACGUCGCAAGACCAAAGUGGGGGACCUUCGGGCCUCAUGCCAUCAGAUGCGCCCACAGGGGGUUAGCUAGUAGGUGGGGUAACGGCUCACCUAGGCGACGAUCCCUAGCUGGGCUGAGAGGAUGAACAGCCACACUGGAACUGAGACACGGUCCAGACUCCUACGGGAGGCAGCAGUGGGGAAUAUUGCACAAUGGGCGCAAGCCUGAUGCAGCCAUGCCGCGUGUGUGAAGAAGGCCUUCGGGUUGUAAAGCACUUUCAGCGGGGAGGAAGGCGAUAAGGUUAAUAACCUUGUCGAUUGACGUUACCCGCAGAAGAAGCACCGGCUAACUCCGUGCCAGCAGCCGCCGCGG